rnacentral:lncRNA from 1 species
UUUUGGGGAACCUAAAAAAAUUUUGGGACCUCCAAAAAAAUUUUGGGGACCUCCAAAAAGACCCCGGGGACCUCCAUAAAGACCUUGGGGACCUCAAAAAAAUUUUGGGGACCUCCAAAAAAAAUUUAGGGACCUCCAAAAAAUUUUGGGGACCUCCAAAAAAUUUGGGGACCCCCAGGAGAAUUUUUGGGACCUCCAGAAGGUGUCAAGGCCAAUUUUGGGUGACAAGGACGAGGCCGAGGACCUCCAAAAAAUUUUGGGGACCUCCAAAAACUUUUGGGGACCUCCAAAAAAUUUGGGGGACCUCUUUGGGGACCUUGGUGGCCUCCAGAAGGUGUCGAGGCCGAUUUUGGGUGACAAAAAGGAGGCCGAGGACCUCCAAAAAAUUUUGGGGACCUCCAAAAAAUUUAGGGACCUCCAAAAAAUUUUGGGACCUCCAAAAAAUUUUGGGGACCUCCUUGGUGGCCUCCAGAAGGUGUCGAGGCCAAAUUUUGGGUGACAAAAAGGAGGCCAAGGACUUCCAAAAAAUUUGGGGGACCUCCAAAAAAAUUUGGGGACCUCCAAAAAAUUUUGGGGCCUCCAAAAAAUUUCGGGGACCUCCAAAAAAAUUUAGGGACCUCAAAAAAAUUUUGGGGACCUCCAAAAAGACCCCGGGGACCUCCAUAAAGACCUUGGGGACCUCCAAAAAAUUUUGGGGACCUCGAAAAAAUUUUGGGGGACCUCCAAAAAAUUUUGGGAACCUAAAAAAAUUUUGGGGACCUCCAAAAAAUUUUGGGGACCUCCAAAAAGACCUCGGUGGCCUCCCCGGGCGAGCGGAGGCCCGAAAAGGAGGCCCCACGUUUUUGGGGUGAAAAACGCGGUU